GAAAGUAUAGCUCAAGUGGUAGAGCACACGCUUAGCAUGCAUGAGGUCCUGGCUUCAAUCACCAGUACCUCCU
rnacentral:tRNA from 1 species